ACAACAAGUUAUCAGGGACAAAGGACGGUGAGCCGCCGAGUUUAGAAAUAAACUACCUGAAUAACUGGCC
rfam:Candidatus Daviesbacteria bacterium RIFCSPHIGHO2_02_FTLL_41_10 rifcsphigho2_02_scaffold_1823, whole genome shotgun sequence.